GGUCAUUUCUAAGGCCAUUGAAAACGAAAUUGCCGAUGCAAAAGAGACAUUCACUGUACAUUAUUCACACAUCUCAACUUCGUUCCAUUUAUUUCUCAUUUGAAACCUUCACAACUCUUAUUUCACAACUCAAUUUUUGUUUUUCACUAUUUUUCUUCCAAGCAAGCAUUCAUUUUUAUUUUCUCUAUAUUAUAUUUUUUUCUCUUUUCUUUCACAUCAUAUUUACAAAACAGAUGUUUUUCUUUUCUAAUUUUUAUUUUCAAUGCUUGCUCGGUUUUUCAAGAGUUGUGGCACUUACUGAUUCUCAUUUUCGUUCUCCCCAACUUAUUUCUUACUCACCCUAAGUGAAUGCUCUUAACUUUUUACGGCAAAAGAACAAUAAUCAAGAUUUUCCGGGUUGUAAAAAAAAAGAUUUUUGAAAUCUCGCUUUAUUUCAAGCUGAGAUUCAACUGUUUAAGCUCAAAGGGGUUAACGAAUACUCUCUCUGCUCACAGGUAAGUUGUAUUUGGAACUGGUUGUGCUCGAUAGAAAACAAGUGCCUUGAUCAUUUCUAAUUGCUUCCACAUAUUCACAAUAAUAAAAGACAAAGCAUGAAUCAAAUGAAUCAACAAAACUUAUUAGAAUCCAGC
rnacentral:lncRNA from 1 species